GAUGAACGCUGGCGGCGUGCCUAACACAUGCAAGUCGAGCGGAGAUAAGGGGAGUACUUGUACAAACUUUAUCUUAGCGGCGGACGGGUGAGUAAUGCGUGAGGAACCUGCCUUUCACUGGGGAAUAACAUCGAGAAAUCGGUGCUAAUACCGCAUAACGUCGCGAGAUCGCAUGGUAUUGCGACCAAAGGAGCAAUCCGGUGAAAGAUGGACUCACGUCCGAUUAGGUAGUUGGUGAGGUAACGGCCCACCAAGCCUACGAUCGGUAGCCGAACUGAGAGGUUGAUCGGCCACAUUGGGACUGAGACACGGCCCAGACUCCUACGGGAGGCAGCAGUGGGGAAUAUUGGGCAAUGGGCGAAAGCCUGACCCAGCAACGCCGCGUGAAGGAAGAAGGUCUUCGGAUUGUAAACUUCUUUGAUCAGGGACGAAAGAAAUGACGGUACCUGAAGAACAAGCCACGGCUAACUACGUGCCAGCCGCCGCAGUAACAC
rnacentral:rRNA from 1 species